rnacentral:rRNA from 1 species
UACAGAGGUCUCGAGCGUUAGGCGGAAUCACUGGGCUUAAAGCGUGUGUAGGUGGAUCGUUAAGUACCUUGUGAAAUCCCACGGCUUAACCGUGGAACUGCUUGGUAUACUGGCGGUCUUGAGCCAGCUAGGGGCUACCGGAACAAAUGGUGGAGCGGUGAAAUGCGUAGAUAUCAUUUGGAACGCCAAUGGUGAAAACAGGUAGCUGGGAGUGUGCUGACGCUGAGACACGAAAGCCAGGGGAGCAAACGGG